rnacentral:rRNA from 1 species
UACGAAGGGGGCUAGCGUUGCUCGGAAUCACUGGGCGUAAAGGGUGCGUAGGCGGGUCUUUAAGUCAGGGUGAAAUCCUGGAGCUCAACUCCAGAACUGCUUUUGAUACUGAAGAUCUUUGAGUUCGGGAGAGGAUCGUGGAAUUCUCGGGUGUAGAGGUGAAAUUCGUAGAUAUCGAGAGGAACACCGGUGGCGAAGGCGGCGAUCUGG